rnacentral:rRNA from 1 species
GACGAACCGUGCGAACGUUGUUCGGAUUCACUGGGCUUAAAGGGCGCGUAGGCGGCUUGCCAAGUCAGGGGUGAAAUCUUUCGGCUUAACCGGAAAAGUGCUUCUGAUACUGGCAGGCUGGAGGGAGGUAGGGGCAGAUGGAACUUCCGGUGGAGCGGUGAAAUGCGUAGAUAUCGGAAGGAAGACCAGUGGCGAAGGCGGGUCUCUGGACAGUUCCUGACGCUGAGGCACGAAGGCCAGGGGAGCAAACAGG